rnacentral:rRNA from 1 species
UACGUAGGGCGCAAGCGUUAUCCGGAAUUAUUGGGCGUAAAGAGCUCGUAGGCGGUUUGUCGCGUCUGCCGUGAAAGUCCGGGGCUCAACUCCGGAUCUGCGGUGGGUACGGGCAGACUAGAGUGGAUGUAGGGGAGACUGGAAUUCCUGGUGUAGCGGUGAAAUGCGCAGAUAUCAGGAGGAACACCGAUGGCGAAGGCAGGUCUCUGGGGCAUUAACUGACGCUGAGGAGCGAAAAGCAUGGGGGAGCGAACAGG